rnacentral:rRNA from 1 species
UACGUAGGGUGCGAGCGUUGUCCGGAAUUACUGGGCGUAAAGAGCUCGUAGGUGGUUUGUCGCGUUGUUCGUGAAAACUCACAGCUUAACUGUGGGCGUGCGGGCGAUACGGGCAGACUGGAGUACUGCAGGGGAGACUGGAAUUCCUGGUGUAGCGGUGGAAUGCGCAGAUAUCAGGAGGAACACCGGUGGCGAAGGCGGGUCUCUGGAUCAACACUGACACUGAGGCACAAAAGCGUGGGUAGCAAACAGG